CGCAGCCAUGGCUAGCCAGUCGCAGGGCAUUCAGCAGCUGCUGCAGGCCGAGAAGCGGGCCGCCGAGAAAGUGUCGGAGGCCCGCAAGCGAAAGAACCGGAGGCUGAAGCAGGCCAAAGAAGAAGCUCAGGCUGAAAUUGAACAAUACCGUCUGCAAAGAGAGAAGGAGUUCAAGGCCAAGGAAGCUGCGGCUCUGGGAUCCCAUGGCAGCUGCAGCACCGAAGUGGAGAAGGAGACCCAGGAGAAGAUGACCAUCCUCCAGGCCUACUUCCAGCAGAACAGGGAUGAAGUCCUGGAUAACCUGCUGGCCUUUGUCUGUGACAUCCAGCCAGAAAUCCAUGAAAACUACCGCAUAAAUGGAUAGGGGAGGAAGGAGCAGCUCUGCGUGCAGAUUGGCAUGUUAGAUGCCUUCAUGGAAUACGAAGCUUCAGCAAAGCUUGAGUAGUUACAUCCUUGUGAAAAGGCAUUAAAUUAUUUUUGUGUAUCACGUAGUAGGUCCCUUCACUUCUUGGAGAAUAGCAAAUCUAACUUCUUUGUACAAACGUAGAGCGUAUCCAAAGAUUUUCUCCUUUUACCUCAUGUUUCUUAGAAAUUUAAUGUGUAUACGUUGUCUGUUUUCCUAUGCCUUUUAGUUCAAGCAACAUAUGUAUCAAUACUUUUUCUUUCUUAGAUGUAGGAAAAAAAAAACUGUUUAAAGAAAGAAAGGGAUUAAAUAUUUUUUUCCCCUAAAGCUUUCUUGAAGGUCAGGGGCUUUCUCUAUGAAAAAGUAGUAAAUAGUUACUGUAACUUGUGUGAAGCAGUAGCUGGCCUUAAGUCCUCUCGGCUAAGGGUGGAACAGCGAAUACUAGUAUAUAUUGAUCGGGCUGCUCUUAGUUUCUCUUACCCAAAAUUAUUAGAUGAUAGAAUUCAAGAACUUCUUGUAUACAUGUUCUUACUUGGUGUACUGAUAAUCAUUUGAAAGUAAAGACUUUGUCAU